rnacentral:lncRNA from 10 species
AAGAGAAAAUUUUACUUCAGAAACGUGAAAUUGAGUCCAAGUUGUUUGGGGAUCCAGAUGAGUUCCCACUUGCUCACCUCUUGGAGCCUUUCCGACAGUAUUAUCUCCAAGCCGAGCACUCCCUGCCAGCGCUCAUCCAGAUCAGGUCAGAGGGGCUGGCUCUCCAUGUUGUCUUUCUCUUAGGUAGCAGGAAGCACUUGAAGAAGUGCUUACAUUGUUUAGGUCUAUUACUGUCUUUUUUUUUUUAAGUUCCAUAAGGAACUUAAAAAAAACUAUGGGUUUAUAAUGUUUCCAUGUUUCAAGGAUGCUGCAUACAUCUUGUUUAGUCCUCAUUAGUCCUUGAGAAGUUGAUGUCCCUAUUUUUAUAGGUGAAGAAAAAAACUCAGGUUGUGACUUGCCCUGUGUUAGUAGGCACAUAUGCAAAUACAGAAUCUGUAAAUAAUGAGGAUUGACUUUAUUUGUUAUUUGGUUAUCCAUAAGGUUUAAGUUCUUCAGAGUUUUUCCUCUUUUUAUAUGUACAUUUAAGAAAUAUAGUCAUUUUCUUGAUUCCUAGAAAU